rnacentral:rRNA from 1 species
UUCUGGUUGAUCCUGCCAGAGGUCACUGCUAUCGGUGUCCGAUUAAGCCAUGCGAGUCGAGAGGUGUAAGACCUCGGCAGACUGCUCAGUAACACGUGGAUAACCUGCCCAAGGGUCCGGGAUAACCCCGGGAAACUGGGGAUAAUACCGGAUGGGUCACCAGUGCUGGAAUGCUUGGUGGUCGAAAGGUGACGCCUUUGGAUGGGUCUGCGGCGGAUUAGGUUGACGCCGGUGUAACGUACCGGCGUGCCUGUAAUCCGUACGGGUUGUGGGAGCAAGAGCCCGGAGAUGGAUUCUGAGACACGAAUCCAGGCCCUACGGGGCGCAGCAGGCGCGAAAACUCUACAAUGCAGGCAACUGCGAUAGGGGGACAUCGAGUGGCAUCCACCUUGGGUGUCUGUCCAACCGUCUAAAAAACGGUUGUUAGCAAGGGCCGGGCAAGGCCGGUGCCAGCCGCCGCGGUAAUACCGGCGGCUCGAGUGGUGGCCGAUAUUAUUGAGUCUAAAGGGUCCGUAGCCGGCUUUGCAAGUCCCCUGGGAAAUCCGGCGGCUUAACCGUUGGGCUUUCAUGGGAUACUACAUUGCUUGGGACUGGGAGAGGUAGGAGGUACUCGGGGGGUAGGGGUGAAAUCCUGUAAUCCUCCGGGGACCACCGGUGGCGAAGGCGUCCUACCAGAACAGGUCCGACGGUGAGGGACGAAAGCUAGGGGCACGAACCGGAUUAGAUACCCGGGUAGUCCUAGCCGUAAACGAUGCCCGCUAGGUGUCACGACGGUCGUGAAUCGUCGUGGUGCCGUAGGGAAGCCGCGAAGCGGGCCACUUGGGAAGUACGGCCGCAAGGCUGAAACUUAAAGGAAUUGGCGGG